rnacentral:rRNA from 1 species
UGGGGAAUUUUGGACAAUGGGCGCAAGCCUGAUCCAGCAAUGCCGCGUGCAGGAUGAAGGCCUUCGGGUUGUAAACUGCUUUUGUACGGAACGAAACGGCUCUGUCUAAUACAUGGGGCUAAUGACGGUACCGUAAGAAUAAGCACCGGCUAACUACGUGCCAGCAGCCGCGGUAAUACGUAGGGUGCGAGCGUUAAUCGGAAUUACUGGGCGUAAAGCGUGCGCAGGCGGUUAUAUAAGACAGAUGUGAAAUCCCCGGGCUCAACCUGGGAACUGCGCUUGUGACUGCUGAGCUAGAGUACGGCAGAGGGGGGUGGAAUUCCACGUGUAGCAGUGAAAUGCGUAGAUAUGCGGAGGAACACCGAUGGCGAAGGCAAUCCCCUGGACCUGUACUGACGCUCAUGCACGAAAGCGUGGGGAGCAAACA